AGGACGAACGCUGGCGGCGUGCUUAACACAUGCAAGUCGAGCGGUAAGGCCCUUCGGGGUACACGAGCGGCGAACGGGUGAGUAACACGUGGGUGAUCUGCCCUGUACUUCGGGAUAAGCCUGGGAAACUGGGUCUAAUACCGGAUAUGACCUUACAUCGCAUGGUGUUUGGUGGAAAGAUUUAUCGGUACAGGAUGGGCCCGCGGCCUAUCAGCUUGUUGGUGGGGUAAUGGCCUACCAAGGCGACGACGGGUAGCCGGCCUGAGAGGGCGACCGGCCACACAGAGACUGAGACACGGCCCAGACUCCUACGGGAGGCAGCAGUGGGGAAUAUUGCACAAUGGGCGAAAGCCUGAUGCAGCGACGCCGCGUGAGGGAUGACGGCCUUCGGGUUGUAAACCUCUUUCGACAGGGACGAAGCGCAAGUGACGGUACCUGUAGAAGAAGCACCGGCCAACUACGUGCCAGCAGCCGCGGUAAUACGUAGGGUGCGAGCGUUGUCCGGAAUUACUGGGCGUAAAGACCUCGGAAAGGGGAUUUGUCGCGUCGUCCGUGAAAACUUGGGGCUCAACCCCAAGCUUGCGGGCGAUACGGGCAGACUUGAGUACUCAGGGGAGACUGGAAUUCCUGGUGUAGCGGUGAAAUGCGCAGAUAUCAGGAGGAACACCGGGUGGCGAAGGCGGG
rnacentral:rRNA from 1 species